ACAAUAAAGCCCCUCUCCUGUUGCUCUCCUGCCAGUGUGAUUAGCAAUGGAGGGUAAGUGCUUUGUUUCAUAUACUAUUAUAAGAAUUACCAAAUGUCUUUAUUAUUUUGCUUUAGGUUUCUUGUGUUCUAAAAUAUACUUCUAACUGAAACAUAAUAUAUAGGGAAAUUUUAGCCAAUCCCCGACAACAGGUUUAUAGCUUGUAUGUAAACUAUUAUGUAUGUGUGCAUAUAUGUAUUCACAUGUAGGAGUGGGCUUAUAAAAAUCACUGUGAAUAUACAAUGUAGUACCUGCUACCCCCCUGAUAAGCGAAACCAGCAUGCACACUAAGAGCUUUCCUUUUUAAACUGUUUGCAUUCCCAAAAAAAAAAAAAAAAAAAAAAAACUUAAAAUCUUUUUACAGGUGUCACAGGGCAGCUAAGGCUCUUAGAAAGUAUGUGAAUUACACAUUUUUUAACUGAUAUUUUAUCCUGCUUAAGUGAUAAUAACAGAAUAUGGGAAGGUGUUGUUGGAAGAACACAGAUUAUUUGUGUUGUGAAGCUCAAUGUCUACUGACAGUCAUAAUUGCAUGCUUAAAUCCGACUUCCGUAUGUUUCUAGUAUCGUGGAGAAGUGAACUUGGUACUUGAUGAAAUACUUAAGUAUGAAUCUCUUCCCAAGGGGGAGCACUUGUCUUCACGUCUCUGAAAAGAGUACUGUGCAGUCUCUUAUGGUGUCAGGGGGGAGAUUGUGAGUGAAGAUUCCCUUCUGGAAGUUAGUUUUCUGUUUGAGCUUUUCUCCCCCAGACUGUCUCAUCAAGAAACCCAUAGAACUCUCUUCUCCGUCACCACACCAAGCAUUCUGCCCAUGGUUCCUUCCCUGGAUCCCCAGUAAACAAUUUCAGUACAUCUUAAGGACUCUGGUAGUGAGUUUUAAGGAGAAUAGGAAAAGGUGAUUUCUAACUGUUAGUAAAUAGCUUCGCAAGAGGACAGAGGCUUGAGAAGGGCUCAUACGAAGACUCUACCCAUCUCUUCAGGAAGCUGAACCUUCUGCUCUGUAUAGAAGGCGCAGGCACAUGGCUUAGUUGAAAGGGACAAGAAGUGGUUUAGACUGUUUAUUUCUAGUCUCUUGCAUUUUUAGAAUACCGUGGAAUAUGGUCUACUAACUGAUUUGUUUCUGGGAAAUUAUGUUAAUGGAACAUUAAUGCUACAUGUACGUUUCUAUAAAGAGUCAGUAAGAAAUAAUGGUUGUAAGAGGAUAAAGCCAUACUAAAAGUUACAUUUAGCUCCUUGGAACUGAAGGAUGUGUCAUAAGUAUCAUAAGUGUUUAUUCUUUGAAUUUCUCCAGUCUUGAAACUAUAUUAAAACAGUCUUAAAUUAUACUUACCCAUGUGUUUGAUAAGUUACUCAUUAAUUGCUAUUAGAAACUGAUUCUCAAAAAUAUAAGCAAACUAUAGAUUCAUCUAGAUUACAGUAGGGUAAAUGUUGAAGAAAUUGACUCAACCUGAACUGAUACCAUACUUGUAAAAUCUCUUAUUGAAAUACACUCAUAAUGCUUGUGUUAGACAUAAAACUAAUAUACUUCAUGCUAAAUUAUAUCUUAUUUUUAUGCUCAUGUUUGCAGCAAUACAACAUAAUUCAUUGGCUAAAUGAAUUUACAGUUUAAAAUAUAUAUUCAGUUUCAACUUUAAAAGUUGAAAAUAGUCGUUUUCCAGCUUGACCAUGCUAGUAAUACUCUGGGGAAAGGACCCUUCAGGAGUCCAGCCUUCUUCCUGUUUGAGUUAGAAGCAGUCCCAAGCGAUUCAGGAAAAGUGAUCUUUAAAACUGCCUUACGAGAGUGCCUCUUUUAUUUUUAUGUCAUAAUGAAAGUUUUAAGUUUAACGGUUACAUUUGUUCUUGCUGAAGCGUGGAGGUGCCAAAUCUGAAGACUUGACAGCUUGAGGUAAAUGAGAUAUGGCAUGAGGCAUGGCAGAAAGAUGAUUAUGUUGGUUCUGACUAGACAGAUAACUGGAAGAAAAUCC
ensembl:processed_transcript B230216N24Rik RIKEN cDNA B230216N24 gene